rnacentral:lncRNA from 1 species
UAGGCAUCAAGUACAGGGGUGAUUCAAUUUAGUACAAGUGAGAGAUUGAAAGAAUAGUGCCCUACAAGCCAAUCGCAUGGGUAAUAUGAAGAAACCUUUCUAUAUUUUCUUCCUACUCAUUUAUAUGAUAUUAGUUAUUUUAUUCAUAAAAUAUUAUAUUUUAUCAUUUGCUGCAUCAUAUUUUUAUGAUUAUGAUAAAUCUCAUAUAUUAGGACAAUGAUUUUAGGACCAUAAUGAGAUCAUACCAGUG